rnacentral:rRNA from 1 species
GACGAACGCUGGCGGCGUGCUUAACACAUGCAAGUCGAACGGAAAGGCCCUGCUUGCAGGGUACUCGAGUGGCGAACGGGUGAGUAACACGUGGGUGAUCUGCCCUGCACUUCGGGAUAAGCCUGGGAAACUGGGUCUAAUACCGGAUAGGAGCCAUUUUUAGUGUGAUGGUUGGAAAGUUUUUUCGGUGUAGGAUGAGCUCGCGGCCUAUCAGCUUGUUGGUGGGGUAAUGGCCUACCAAGGCGGCGACGGGUAGCCGGCCUGCGAGGGUGGACGGCCACAAUGGGACUGGGAUACGGCCCAGACUCCCACGGGAGGCAGCAGUGGGGAAUAUUGCACAAUGGGCGCAAGCCUGAUGCAGCGACGCCGCGUGGGGGAUGACGGCCUUCGGGUUGGAAACUCCUUUCGCUAGGGACGAAGCUUUUUGUGACGGUACCUAGAUAAGAAGCACCGGCUAACUACGUG